GCACGGAUGGCCGAGCGGUCUAAGGCGCCAGACUCAAGUCUGCACUGACUUCCAGGGACUUCUGGUUCUCUUCGGAGAGCGUGAGUUCAAAUCUCACUCCGUGCA
rnacentral:tRNA from 1 species